AGAUGGGUGGAGCUAGGGAAAGCCUUCAUGGAAAGGGUUUCAUCUUUCUGAACAUUCACCACACUGGUGGACAAAUCCUUUUUGUGUGAGGAAGAUGUGGCUGUUGGGAGAGUCAAGUAAUUGAAUGACGUGAAUUUCCUGGAGUUUCCAUAAGUUCCUGUAAAUUUAGCCUCCAACUGAAAUAAACCAACUGAAUGUAAGACAUCAGACCCUAAAGAACCAAAGUUGUUAUUUCUGUGGAAGACCAGCCAACCUAUUCUCACAGCUGAAACAAUGGAUCUGGCCUGCAGAGUGUUAAGGCAUUCUCCAAGUUUCAAAACAAGAGUACACCAUUUUGAAGGCCUAUAAAUAGAAAGAAUUUUUCAAAUAUUAAUUCAGUAAUGACCUCUGUCUUUGGAAAAGAUAAUUGCAAUGUGUUACUGCGAACCAAUUUAAACCUGUAUUUCUCAUUGCAUUUAAUAUUUAAUUUUGUUUUUUAUCAUUAUAUAUCAACAGUUCUUUCUGGAGCAAAGCAAUCCUAUUUGACUUUUUUUUUUUUUAACCUUAUAGUGCACACACACAUGUAUGUGUAGGGUUAUUUAAACAAGGAAACAUUUACAUCAAAAUGUGCAAAGAGUUAUCCUGGAAUAGAAAUGCUGAAAAUAUAUUUUCAAGAAGUUUUAAAAUUCUAGGCUGGCCUCAAUGUAUUCAGUAGCAUGCCAGAAACAGAAAAAAAAAUUUAAUCUCUCCAUUUGCUUAUUCCUAUUAACAUAUAUAGAAAAAAAACUUGCUCUAAACCUAAUGCCUAUGCGAUAUGUUUGUUUCCUGAUGCUGAUGAUAAAUCAUAACCGGGCACUUGGUUAUAUUUUUUAAUGUUCUACAUUUCUAGCACUGCUACUGUAUUCACAAUGAGCUUUAUAUCUGACAGUAAUUUUAUUUUCAGGUUCAGUCAUAUGAUGCCUUUCUAUAGGAAUAGGUUCUAUCACAGGAACAAAUUAUUCAAAUCUAGUUUAACGGACUCAGCAAUUCUCCUCAGUUUUAUCUUGGGCAUUUUGUAUUCCUUUGCCUAAACCUAGUGGCUAUGUAACAAUUCAAUUACCAAAGUCCUUCAUCCAGAAAGUGCUGUUGAUUUCCAGUAAUUCUUAUUCUGUUUGAUUUCUUUUUUUUUUCCUCCUAGUUUAACACAUGCCAGUUGGUGUCGACUGAGUUAAAAAUCUUGAAAUAAGCCUGGCACUGUGUCAGUACAUAGGUUAAAAAAUGAAACAAAAAAAUUUAAUAAAAUAUACGCUAGAAAUGGAAAAUAAGAUUAGCAGUGGCAUUUCUUGUCAUAAGGACAUUUUCUGUCUAUGCACACAAAAUAAAACCAGCUCAGUGUAGCUGAAGAAGAGAGGAAAGAGAGAGGUGGUAUAAAUUGAAAGACGAAAAGGCAGAGACUGAGUGUACAGAAGCGCGUUGAGAGCAUGCAGUCAGCUGGCAAGAAAAGGCAACUCGAAGAGCCUCAGAAGGUAAAACCUCAGUUGGCAGAUAAAGUGGGUAAGAAGCAAGUUUUGAAAUAAAAUAGCAAUAGCAUAAGCAACUUGAAGGAAGAUGAAAAGAGCAAGGUGAUAAAAGUAUGCAAGAGUCUUUGGAGAUUAUUAGUAAUUUUAGGGAAUUACAAUGAUGAAAAGUUAUAAGGGAAAAAGACUUUACAUAUUCUUUAAUAAAAGAAA
rnacentral:lncRNA from 1 species